GGAGAAGUACCCAAGUAGGCUGAAGGGGACGGUUUGCUAAACCGUUAGUAGGGGAAUACUCUAGCGCGGGUUCGAAUCCCGCCUUCUCCGCCA
rnacentral:tRNA from 1 species